rnacentral:lncRNA from 1 species
CUUAAGUUGUCUUUCAGGGAAAACCUCCAGAAUCCUCUCAAGGACUACUUGAUACCAGCGUUUUAAGAAUAUACCCAUGCAGAAGAGACCACAUCAUCUGGUGACUGGAAAGAAGUAGAGGUGGAGAGGAGCUUAGAGUUCCCCCUACAGCCUUCUACACUAUCCUUUCAUUUUGGAAAUACCUGUGGCUGCAAAGAGAGACCCUCAGAAAGGACUCAGUUCCUAAGGCACUCGACUUCCAAAAGUAAAAGAACUGAGGACCAGAAACUGGAUUUGAAGACACCAUAUGAAGGGUUUUCUUGCAGUUAUCCGUGGAUGGACUUGGUCCUCUAGAAAGAUGGGGAAAGAGAAGAGAUACAGAUUCCUUGGGAGAGAAAGUUGCUCUUGACCAGAGGAGGAUGUGAGGAAAGUCUUGGAAAGAGGGUGUGGGUGAGAUGAAUCAUCCAUUCUCAGGAAGGACAGGUAACAUUAGAGAAAAAGGAAGGUCAAAUGGAAUGCUGCAGAAGAAGGGCCGACAUAGAAAGUUCCAUGGCCAGGCCCUUGUGGGAACAGGUGUGGGGUAGUGUGCAUUAAGGGAAGUGGGCUUAUAGGGAAGAAGGUGAUC